rnacentral:rRNA from 1 species
GACGAACGCUGGCGGCGUGCUUAACACAUGCAAGUCGAACGGAAAGGCCCUGCGUUUGUGGGGUGCUCGAUUGGCGAACGGGUGAGUAACACGUGAGUAACCUGCCCUUGACUUUGUGGUAACUUCAGGAAACUCGGGCUAAUACCGGAUAGGAGCUCCUGCUGCAUGUUGGGGGUUGGAAAGUUUCGGCGGUUGGGGAUGUACUCGAGGGUUAUCAGCUGGUUUGUGGGGUAGUGGCUUUCCAAGGCUUUGACGGGUAGGCUGCCUGAGAGGGUGACCGGGCACAUUGGGCCUGAGAUACGCACCAGAAUCCAACGGGAGGCAGUAGGGGGGAAUAUUGCGCAAUGGGCGGAAGCCUGAUGCAGCAACGCCGGGUGCGGGAUGACGGCUUUCGGGUUGUAAACAGAUUUCGACUGUGACGAAGAGAGAGUGACGGUAAUGGGUAAAGAAGCACCGGCUAACUACGUG